GACGAACGCUGGCGGCGUGCUUAACACAUGCAAGUCGAACGAAGUGGCGAACGGGUGAGUAACGCGUAAUCAACCUGCCCUUCAGUGGGGGACAACAGUUGGAAACGACUGCUAAUACGGCAUAUUGAAGGUGGGGUUUGUGUCUGAUUAGCUAGUUGGUGGGGUAACCGCCGACCAAGGCGAUGAUCAGUAGCCGGUCUGGAAAGACGAACGGGCACAUUGGGACUGGGAAACGGCCCAGACUCCUACGGGAGGCAGCAAGGGGGAAACUUCCGCAAUGGGGGGAAGUCUGACGGAGCAACGCCGCGUGAGUGAUGACGGCCUUCGGGUUGUAAAGCUCUGUUAAUCGGGGCGCGGUACCGGAAUAGAAAGCCACGGCUAACUACGUGCCAGCAGCCGCGGUAAUUC
rnacentral:rRNA from 1 species